rnacentral:tmRNA from 1 species
GGGGGCGAUCUGGUUUCGACCGGGUAAGAUGAGGCGUAGGUGGCGUGUCGUGGUUGAACGGUUGGCCACGUAAAAAGCCGUUCGCACUUUAACUGCUGAACCGCAGUUUUCCCUGGCGGCCUAAUAACGGCUGCCCCGAGUCCAGGAGCUUCGCCUGAGAGGUCUUGGCUUGGUCGUUAAUUCGGGCUAGCCGCGCCAGACACCGGUGGAAGCAGCGGCGAAAUUUACGAUCGGUUAGUCCAAUCCGGACCCUGCCUGUCGGGGCCGGUGCGGGCGAACACGCCGGGCGAGACCGCAAGGAAUCGGCCCGGCAAGCAAUGACAAGGCUACACACGUAGAUGCCGACGCUGAAGUACCUCGGCACCCGGGUUCAAUUCCCGGCGCCUCCACUC